rnacentral:rRNA from 1 species
UACGUAGGGCGCAAGCGUUGUCCGGAAUUAUUGGGCGUAAAGAGCGUGUAGGCGGCCGUACAGGUCAGCUGUGAAAACUCGAAGGCUCAACCUCGAGACGUCGGUUGAAACCGUACGGCUAAGAGUCCGGAAGAGGAGAGUGGAAAUUCCCGGUGUAGCGGUGAAAUGCGUAGAUAUCGUAAGGAAGACCAGUGGCGAAGGCGGGUCUCGUGGACAGUUCCUGACGCUGAGGCACGAAGGCCAGGGGAGCAAACGGG